rnacentral:lncRNA from 1 species
GUUUGUGUUUAGCAAGUUCACACACCUCACAACAAAGACUCUCAACAUCUAAAUUUUUUAAAAAAGGAAGGAAAUAUUUGUUUCAUGACUCUAAAUGAAGGAUGACCAAGGCGACAGUGGUAUAGAAAGACCAUCUCCCUGUUGGUCUUAAUUGAUUCCGAAAAAAGUGAGUUGUUGUUGUUGAGUGGAUUUGGGGGGAGAUUUUGGUUAUCCAAGUAAUAAAGACC